rnacentral:piRNA from 1 species
UAGGCACAGAUGUGAAGUGUAGGUGU